UUAAACAUAACAUCUAGUAUCUAUAUACAAAACGUGUUGAAAACAAGAGAUAGUGUUCCUUGGAAAUGUCAGGAGAGUUACCUCGGAAUUUCUGCCAGAAAUACACUCGAUGUUAAAGAACUAACUGGAAACGUGAUAUUUAUUCGUCCAGAAAACAGAAGAUUUAUUGCUAGUCAGUCCAUAGAUAUAACAUGUAAGGCGGAAGUGACGUACCCUACAACCAACAUCACGUGGUAUAUAGACACUGCAGAUAAUAGGCUAUAUGAAGAUAUAACAACAGAUAUUGAGGAUGGAGUAUCAACAAGCAGACUAAGACUAACACUGGACAAACAACUGAAUAAUCACACUCUUUAUUGUUCAGCUUUUAAUGGUUAUGGCACAGUUCAAACGGAUUUUCUCAAACUGGAUGUAAUGUAUUCACCCAAUAUCCAUAUUGUAACAAAAUCAACUUCCAUAGCCAUUGUUGAAAAAACUUCCACAAUCAUUGCUGAAGGGGGACAACUCUUAUUGAUAUGUUUCGUUCAGAACGCAAACCCUCAAGUUCCACCAUAUGGUUAUGCUUGGAGUAGAAAUGGUAUAAAGCUGAUAGAUCAAACAUCAGAUAUAUUUAAAGUGGAUUCAACAUCGUCGCGCGACAUUGGUAACUAUACCUGUACGGGUAACAAUGGUAUUGGAACAGGUGUAUCAUCACCUGUAAAAAUUUAUGCUGAUCCGCGUGUUAACGAAGAUAAGUCUGGAGUUGUCACUGGACUCGCCGUGUGUUUGGCUUUGUUUAUGGUAUUGUCCAUUGCACUCUCCUUAAUGGUCGCAUAUCUGAUGCUAACCAUUAGAAGGUCAACAAUCAAAACUAAAGAAUCCGAGGCAAUAAGUAGAAUCACGUGAGUAAC